GGCGGUUUGAGUGGCGGCGGCGGGUUUUGGUUACCAGCGAGAUGCAGCAGCAGCGAGAGCAAACACGUCCCUGUAAAAUGGGGCUCAGCAAGGGGAAAGUGGUGUUGGACAGAAGCUCAUCAAUCAGCAGUGAUCUGGAGAGAUGCUCUAUACACACUGGCACUGAGGAGGAUCGCAGGAAUAGCUCUCAGAGCAAAGUCACUGUGGAGAAACUAGAAAGGGAAAACGCUAAGCUGAAAAUGCAGUAUGAAGAGCUGAAGCGCCAGUAUGUGCAGCUCCUGGAGGAGGCGAAGGAGGAGAAGUUUGAGGAAAGGAGAGUCAACCUGCUCAAAGCUCAGGUUAUGCAGCUGGAAAGACAGGUGAUUUUGCUGUCUGAAGGUCUGAGCUCGCAGCUGUGCUGCAGUCAGGAUGUAGAGAAGGCUCUUGAUCCUCUAACACACAGAUUAAGAUCACUGCUGAGCUCUGGAGGUGCUGAUGAGGUGAUCAUAGCUUGGUCUGAGCUCACCCAGCUCGUGGAAAGGUGUGAAGAUGUGAAGCAGAAGCUCCACAGGAAAAUUAAGGUGAGCUCGGCGGAGGACCUGGCCGUUCCCUGGCUGCUGAGUGGGUCAAAACUGACCAAGCAGCCCACCACCACCCUGCUGGACCUCUGCUACGGCAAGAUAAAUAACCUGAACCUUCAGCAAGUGGCUGGCUCAGAACAACGGGUGAUCCCUGAGCUGGAGGUGGAGAACAUCCUGGCAACGCUGCCUGCCUUCCCCCGGGGAGCGCCCCUCCAGCGGGCCAGACGCUCCGCCCAGGCCCUCAGCCGAGCCGCCAAUUACUCACUGCUAAUGGCCCAGCAGCAGGUAGAAGCUCUGGAGACUGAGCUGGAGUUCCACAGGAGCCUGUACAGCCUGCAGGUGCGAACCGUAGAGGAGCUGGUGCAGGGAAUCCGCCAGGCCUACCAAACCUUCCAGGAGAACAUCUCUCACAGCCUGUGUGCUCCACUGCAAGAUGUCCUUUCAUGUUACGAGGAUCUGAGGGGCUCGGCGUCGGAGGCUGCUCUCCGCCGCUUCCUGUCAGCUUUUAAGAGCAGCUCGGCGCAGAUACGUGAGGCAGUGGAGGCCUUCGGCCCUUCAAAGAGUCAAGGAGAUGAAGCCCUGGCGCAGUACGGUCGUGAUUUCCUGCAGUCUGUGGAAGCUCUGCUGAAAGACUGCGCUGAAAACAGAGAGAAAGCAGCCAGUAAGCUUCAGCUGCUUCAGCACAAGCAGCAGCAGGCCUUACACACCCUACACACACUCUCCAGAGCCCACCGGAGAGAGCCCAGCAUCCCACCAGCCCAGCCACAUGCACCGGGUCCUGCUACCACGCAGCAGGUCAGCCCUCCAGCCCUGGAUCAGUCUGGAAACUCUGGAGACCCCAGCAGGAGACUCCCAGAUAAACAACCCACUCUCCUGCCAGCCCAGCAGGAGCACAGAGCGCUGAGAAAGCCUCUGACAGAGGACAUCGCAUCAGAUACCUCCAGACACGAGACGCCCCAACCCACCGGGGUCAACCAGAGGCCAACCAGGAGGAGGAGGAGGAGUUCUCCCAGGAGCAGAGAGGUAGCAGCUAAAGCAGAGCAGCAGUAGAGCACUGAUAUUACAGACACUGCAGAGAGAACAGGUUACGCCUGCUUCAUGCUUUUCAUUAUUAUAAUAUAAUAUUAUACACUUUUAAAAGUGGUUGACUUAAUGCAGUAUUAAAUGUCUUUUUCCUGAUAUAUCUCAUUAACAACAGUGUAUUUGCAAUAUUCUAAUUUUCAUGAUUUUCUUAUGCUAUUACUCACAACAUGACAUACCAGUACCAGUCAAAAGUUUAGACAAACCUUCUAAUUUUUUUUCAUACAUUGUAAACUAAUACUGAAGUGAUUCAGACUAUAAAGGAACACAUAAAAAUAAUGUAGUAACUUAAAAAAGUGUUAAACUAACCAAAACACUCUGAUAACUCGGUACCACUUUAAAAUAAGACUACCUUUAUAAAGGGUUUAUAAAUAGUUAAUUACAAUUAGUUUAUUAGGGUGUUAAUGCCUUAAAAAUCAUUAAUAAUCAGUUAUAACACAUGCGUAGAAUGGGCAACAAUGACCUGUUGUUUGCCAAAUAGUGAACUAUAUUACACAGCCGUCUAUAUUGUUGCUCUUUCUACGUAUGUGUUAUAACUGAUUAUUAAUAAUUUUUAAGGCAUUUACAACCUAAUUAGUAACCAUUAAUAAACUCAUUGUAAACCAUUUAUAAAUGCUUUAU
ensembl:lncRNA